ensembl:lncRNA
GAAAGCCCUUUAUCUGGGGCCGAGGAGACCUCCUACAAGGCGCCUUUCCCAGACUCCUGAGGGUCUGCAGGAAAAGAGGUCAGAGUUUGGAGUCUCUUGGUGACCAUGCAUCAACUUGUAUUGCUGUUUCCAUCUCAGGAAGCAAAAAAAAAAAAAAAAAAAAAAAAAGGUGUGAGUGCCUGUGUGGGAGGACUGUCGCACACGGUAACCCUAGCAGAAAGCCCGCCAGGGAGCUGACGUCCCUUGCAUUGUGCGUAUGAGAAACUGAGGCCAGAGAAGUGAAGGGAUGUGCCCAGGAGCUCCGAGCAGCCUAGGGUGCUCCAAGAAUAUCUGCUGAAUAAGUGAAUGAGGAAAAACAAAUUACCAUGGGUCCACCAAGAAGAAACACUUCUGCCGACCUUUUGACGUGUGUGUUUUCUCUGAGUAUUUUUUCCCACCAAAGUUUAGGUGCGGUUUUAAGGGUCUCUAACAUCCUCGCCAGCUUGUGAACCACAGUUUGACUCUUCUGCUGCUGCACUUUUAGGCUGUUUUCCAUUUUUCUCUUCAUAAAGGAUGUGGCUGAUGCCUUUCGGCAGAGAACUCUUUCCAUAUUUCACCUUAUUUCCUAAGGAGAGAGUGUCAGAAGAGGGAUGAACUUGGUCACUUGGUCAAAGUUUUUUCUUUUUUAAUCUGAUUUCAUAUUUCUUAAGAAUGAUGCACCUUAUGAAACAACUUUAUAUCUGUUGAGAAACCUGGUUAAGUUCUUUUUUUAAUAUUGUUUUUAAAAAAGACUUGUUCUGAACAAUAUCCUGUGUCUUUCAGAAAACAGCGGCGGAUAUGAAAGGAGAUUUGUUCCCUCCAAGCUCUUAGGAGACGAUCUGGCUCAGGAAACAGACACAUCAGAUCCUUGCGUGUAUCUGAUGGUUGCCAUGGGAACAAGUCAUUUAACACAAUGCUGGGUUAAAGCAUUGAUCAAUAAGGGAGGGGGCAAGAUUGAAACAAAUUAGUUGGUGUCUGAGCAGGCCGGACAGAUAAUGACAGUAACGGGCAGUGCUCUGCCUGGCCUCCUCCCGUGGCCGGGGCCUGGGCCUGGGCCAGCAGAGGCAGGAGUGGGGUCCCUUCAUCUAGGGUUGGGAUGUGUGGGGCAGAGAACAGAGUCAUAUCAGGCUGAGGAAACUGUUCCCCAAACCAGAUACUGGGGCAAGAGAGGCCUGAGAGGAGUCUGGGGACCUGGGCUCUGGGGGUGAGUGGAACACAAGGCGACAUGGGAAGAAGCUGGGAUGGACCCCAGGGCCUGGGCACAGCCAGUCCCGGCUUCUCCACGCUCCUGCACCAUGUUUGCACAGACGGCUGGGACAUCUUGCCACAUCCUUCAUCUCUCAGGUGUCUGCCAAAGACGCAGCCGCUAACCCCGUGCCCUGUGUUUUGGGCAUGGAUGGGGCAUUCCCUCCUCCUUCUGGGAACCGGAAGCAUCCGGGCUGGCCUGGGAGCCAUCAAGGGCUCAGACUCCGCAUUUGGCAAGACCUGUUUCUAACUGCUACCCCCACCUCCUGGCCGUUGAGCUGGCAAGUCACUGAAGCCCGUGCCCCUCAGUCUUCUCAUCUGUAUGAUGAAGGAACCAUGCGCAGCGUCUGGCUUGGCGCCUGCAACAGAGUCAGCCCUCAGGAUGUAGUAACCUCGCCCUAUUUAUACCAUGUUCGUGUGCCUGGAACAGGCUCCGGGGGCGCCUCGGACCCCAACUGCCACGGCAGCCACACAGCAGGACGAGGAGAGAACAGCCCGUGGGGCCGGAUGCGGCGGGGCUGGGACGCCAGGCAGACGAGAUGCCGGCUGUGCAACCUCCCUGGUCCCUUCACAUCUCUGAGGUGCACUUGGCUCGCGGGUCAAGUGGGGAUACAGCGCCUUUCUCCGGGGGCGCUGAGCGCGGCGAUGAGCGUGGGUAACACAGCCAGGAGUGCUUCUCCCCCGGGGGAACAGGAUUUUCCGGGGUCCGGACACUCACGCCCCCCGGAUCGGCGCCCCGGAGCGCAGGCGCGCGGCGGGGGGCUGCCCCCCAGGCGAAGGGCCCGGCUCGGCAUCUGGAAAGACCCGCGGGUCGCGCGGCCCCGGAGCGGCCGGCAGGGGGCAGGCUGUCCCCGCGAGCCGGCCGUGUCCUCGCGUCACCCCGCCGCCUCCAGCCCCCGCGCCUCCUGAAGGGGCCACGCGGCCGCCUCUGCGCGGAGGGCGAGCGGCCCUUCCCCGGGGAGCCCUCUCCAUCAGCGCGGGCCCAAUAAUUUACGUUUAAUUUGGGAGCGGU